UCCUUAGAAAUCAUAUUAAUCUCCUUAGGAAUAUUCCUGACCGUCGGAUGGAGCUUGAACCAUCCAGAUCUGAUCAAAAUCUAUAGUUUUAAUCUAAAUCAAAGUUGGAUCAAACCACAACCGUCUGAUCUGGGUUCGGAUUGGUUCUAGACCGUCGGAUCGUGCAAAAAUUCUUCUUAUAAACCGACAAUGGAUGUUGACCAUU
rnacentral:lncRNA from 1 species